UUCAUGGAGAGUUUGAUCCUGGCUCAGGACGAACGCUGGCGGCGUGCCUAAUACAUGCAAGUCGAGCGGACCGACGGGAGCUUGCUC
rnacentral:rRNA from 1 species